GUGCUCGUUUUGGCAGCACAUAUACUACAAGUGGAAUGAUACAAAGAUUAGUGCCACCCCUGAGAAAGGAUGACACGCAAAUUCACGAAGUGAUGGAACAUAAG